GAAGCCUGACCCGGGGCCUGCAGAACCUCCAGGCUCCAGGAGAACUGAGCCACUGAGACGUCAUCGGAGUCAACCGGAACAACCACCUUCCGUUUCACAGCAGAUGGAGGUUUUGACCUCUCCUCCACCAGGACACACCGGACCAGAGUGAUGAGGACGGGGCUCGGAUGUGGAGACUGAAAGUCCCACAUCGUCUUCACUGGCGUCCCACGGACGGGAAGCGAGGCGGGGAAGUGGCUGAUGACCAGAGUCCAGGAAGAAGCCCGGCUCAGAGAAGGAAGAGGAGAGGAAGCAUGAAGGCGGUGGGGAAAAAAC